GGGAGAAUGAGAGAGGAGGUAGAAUACAGUGUAAGACUCAGGUUAUGACCCUCAUAACCAUAACUUAAUGGCAGAUGACAACAUACUUGAUUUUGAAAUAAUUCCAUGUAAUCCUUUAAAAAAUCAUCUGACUCUUCUAAUCUAUUUUUUAUUUUGAAAUAUUUAAAAUUUACAGACACGUUACAAGAAUAAUGUAAAUAAAACCCAUAUUUCUUUCCCUAGAUUCACUAAUUACCAACAUUUUGCAGUGUUGUGCUUGUGUUUUCUCCCCAGCCUGCUUUUAUAUAUGGCAGUAGUUUUAGGCAUCCUAAUACUUCACUGAUAAAUAUUUUAGUAUAUGUAUUUUAAUAAAAACACAUUCUCUAACAUAAUCGCAAUAUAAUUAUUACACUCAGGAAAUGUAAUGUUUAUAGUACUAUAAAAAAUAUAGUCCACAUUCAAAUGUCCUAACAUACUGUCCCAUAAGUGUUCUUUUUUUUUUUUUUUAAUUUUAUUUUCCCACUGUACAGCAAGGGGGUCAGGUUAUCCUUACAUGUAUACAUUACAAUUACAGUUUUUCCCCCACCAUUUCUUCUGUUGCAACAUGAGUAUCUAGACAUAGUUCUCAAUGCUAUUCGGCGGGAUCUCCUUGUAAAUCUAUUCUACGUUGUGACUGAUAAGCCCAAGCUCCCGAUCCCUCCCACUCCCUCCCCCUCCCAUCAGGCAACCACAAGUCUCUUCUCCAAGUCCAUGACUGAUUUUCUUUUCUGAGGAGAUGUUCAUUUGUGCUGGAUAUUAGAUUCCAGUUAUAAGUGAUGUCAUAUGGUAUUUGUCUUUGUCUUUCUGGCUCAUUUCACUCAGUAUGAGAUUCUCUAGUUCCAUCCAUGUUGCUGCAAAUGGCAUGAUGUCAUCCUUUUUUAUGGCUGAGUAGUAUUCCAUUGUGUAUAUAUACCACACCUUCCGAAUCCAAUCAUCUGUCGAUGGACAUUUGGGUUGUUUCCAUGUCCUGGCUAUUGUGAAUAGUGCUGCAAUGAACAUGCGGCUGCAUGUGUCUCUUUUAAGUGGAGCUUUGUCCGGAUAGAUGCCCAAGAGUGGGAUUGCAGGGUCAUAUGCAUAAGUGUUCUUAUAAAGAACUGCUAUAAGCAGUUUUUGUUUGAUUGGCUUUUUGGGGGGCAGGGGUGAGGUGGGAUGUGAUUCAGGAUCCAAUCAGUAAUUAAAUACUUAAUUCAUCAUUGUCACAUCAUAAUCUCUUUUAAUUUAGAACAAUUCUCCAGCCUUAGUUUUCUCUUUUCUUUUCAUGGCAUUGACUUUGUUGAAGUACCUAGGCCAGUCAUUUUGCGAAAUGACUUUCAGAUUGUAUUUACCUGCUUCCUCAUGAUUACAUUCAGCUUAAGCAUUUUGGAUAGGUGGUGUUGUGGAUUAAAAUGGUCAAAUAUCUCAUGGAUAUCUUCCCAGUGUUUAGUUAGAUCAGCAGGACUAGGACUUGGGGCUCUACCUUAGCAAAUUUUAGCCAGGAGUUUAAGGCUUCUUGGUCAGAGAACAUGUAUUGUGUUUCUGUCAUGUGCCUUCUUCAUGUCACACUUAUUAGGAGCAUGAUUCUGUGCUCUCAGAGCUUCAUAGGGUAUAUCAUCUGCUUCUUGAAAAAAACUUGUGCCCUUUGUUCUGAAGUUCAUGGUUUUUUUUUUUUCCCUAUUUUAAAUUCCUUGAAUAAUCUAUCUGUGGAAAUAUUUUUAUGGGAACUUUUAAAAUUUUCGUGAAGUUCUUCUUGACAUCUGGGUUUUCUCAUUCUGAAAAUGAUUCAAAUAUUAUUGCUAUUUUUUUCAAGUUUGACUGAAAAAGUUAAUACAUUUGUAGUAAAAUUAGAGAAUUUCAGGGCUGAUAAAGAAAAAAGACAUGACUGUGAGAUGAUGGUAGUACACAAUGAACUUUGUUUAGGCAGAGGUCUGACAAAUUGCAAAGGAAAGUCCUUCACAGCUGGAGACCUUCCAGAGACAUCAGUGUAGGACCACAACCAGAAGGGGAAGAGGGUACUUGAACUCUUUGAGGAGAGGGGUACCAGAGAGGGGAUUCAUGUUUCUAGAACAUGUCACUCAGUUGCAAGAUGGAAGUCUCUGGUUCAUAGAGCACCACAGGACAGCAGUAGCUUGUAGUCUUUUUAUAACUCCUAGGGUUUGCCUUAACUAUAGCUUGCAGACAUCAAAUUUAGUGUCAUUAAGUAUGUAAAAGAGGCAGGCUCUUCAUGGCUAGAAAACUUAUUUGGGUUAUGUUAAAAGCAAUUGAAUGUGUGAAAAUUUGGCACUAGUUAGAGUUCUGAGCAAAUGGUGCUUGCUUGCUGUGAAAAAGUAAACAAUAUAGAGGCCAAGGUAUAGGAGGUAUCUUUGGCAUGUUUAUGUAACAGCAUUAUAUUAUGAAAGACUUAUAAGUAUUUUUUAUUUUUAAAUUGUGGAAAAUUAAGGGGAUGAUUUAAAUUAAGAAUAACUAAUUUCUCUAGUUUCAGGAGUCACUUUCACUGUUCACUAGCCAAAUUUCUGUUCACUUGAAAAACAUACCUUUUACUUCAGAAAAGAAUCUUAUAAAUUUAGGGUCAAAUUAUAACAGAAUAAAUUUUAGGAGGGAGGUGCUAGGUAUUACAGGUACUCCUCUUAUGUUCUGUUGAAGGAAUUAUUCAUGUUUAUAUUAUUUUCUGAAUGAUGUCUCUUUACUCUUAGGUUUAACAAGCCUUUAUUUCAAAUGGGGGUAAAUAUGUGUGAGAGGAUGUGUAUCAGGGCAUAUGUGUGCUAUAAAGAACACAGGAGAGCAGCACCAAUUUAAAUAUUAGUUAAUGUAUAACACUUCUUUUCCCUGGUACUUAUAUUCUUAACUUUGUUUGUUUUCUGAAAUAAUUUUUGUCUUUGUUAGAGAUGAACAUGAAUAUACUGAUUUCUUAGAAAUCCCCUCUUAGAGUAAUUUCUUCUGAGUUUUCAAGUUUACUAGAUAAUUUUCAUCAGCUAACAACUUCUUGAACUCAUUUCUUUAUUUUUUCACAGCAAAACUAUACAAGAAUUGGAUAUAUAAUAGUGUUUAUUAAAAAUAGAUACAUAGUACGUCAGAUAUAUUGUUUAUUUUUGCUUAAUAUUUUUGAUAUUUUGAAACAAAUAUAGUUAUGUAACAAAACUUAUUUUCACAAAUAAGAAUAAAACAGGCAAAACUAACUUGAUGAUGGGAAAGCCGUAAUUUGUGAGUGUUUUCUUAAGGUAGAGAUAAGUAUAUAUAUACAUAUACACAUGCUCUCUGGACCUUUUUCUUUUUAAAUUUUAUGGCCACGCCCACAGCAUAUGGAAGUUCCUGGGUCAGGGAUUGAAUCUGAGCCACAGCUGCAGCAAUGCUGGAUCCUUUAAUCCACUGCGCUGGGCCAGGGAUUGAACCUGCACUUCUGCAAUGACCUAAGCCACUGCAGUAGAAUUCUUAACCCGUUGCACCACAGUGGGAAGUACUCUAAGACUGUUUUAAACCUGGGUUAAAAUUCAAAUUCUUUCUACUCAGAUGAAGAUAACAAGUUAGUUCCCUACAUAAGUAUCUAUUUUGUUAAUAAUGUUUUGAAUUAUUUUUUUAUUUUAUUUUUAUUUAUUUAUUUUUCUUUUUUUUUUUGUCUUUUGUCUUUUUGGUUGUUGUUGUUGUUAUUGUUGCAGACUCAGCUCAGAUCCCAUGUUGCUGUGGCUGCAGUGUAGGCUGGCGGCUACAGCUCCAGUUAGACCCCUAGCCUGGUUCACCUCCAUAUGCUGUGGGGGCCGCUCUAGAAAAGACCAAAAGACCAAGUAAAAAAAAUGUAAAUUUUGACAUCAAAAGCAUAAAAUGUAGUAGAGGGGAAUAACAGUGUAGACUAAUAGAAACACAGAAGAUAAAGAGAAAAGAAAGCAUACCACUAGAGAAAUUCAUCAGAUCACAAAGGAAGGCAACAAGAGAAUAAGAAAGUAACAACAGAACUACAAAAGAGCCAGAAAAGGAUUAAUAAGAUACUUUAUUAGUCAUCACCUAUCAAUAAUUACUUUAAAUGUAUAUGGAGUAAAUUCUCAAUUCAAAGGACAUAAGGUGGCUGAUGGAUAAAAAACAAGAUCCCCUUUAUGCUGUCUUUAAGGGACUCACUAUACUUUUAAGAAUAAACAUAGAUAGCAAAAAUAUUCUAGGCAAAUGGAAACCAAAAGACAGCUAUGGUAGCAGUUCCUAUAUCAGACAAAAUAGAUUUAGUCAAAAACUGUAAGGACAAACAAGGUGAUUAUAUAAUGAUAAAGAGGUCAACUCAUCAAGAGAAAAACAAUGUAAAUAUAUGUCACCCAACGUCAGAGUACAUAAAGAUAGCAAAUAUUAACAGAACUCAAGGGAGAAAUUGAUAGCAGUACAAUAAUAUUAGAUGUCUUCAAUACCACACUUUUAACAAAUGAUAGAUCAUACAGCAGAAAUGCAAUAAGGAAACACUGGACUUUAUCUAGACCUUAGACCAAAUAGACCUAACAUAAAAAUAUAGAAUUAUCCAUUCAACAGCAUGAUAUGCAUUCUUUUGAAGCACACAAAGGACAUUCUCCAGGAUAGUUCUUAUGUUAGGCCACAGAAUAAGUCUUAAAAAACUCAAGAACAUAUCCAAUAUCUUUUCCAACCUUGAUGAUAUGAAACUAGAAAUCAGUAAGAGGAAAAUUAGAGAAUUCACAGAUAUGUAAAAAUUAACCAAUGUCAAAGGAAAAAAAAUAUAAGCAAUAUCUUGAGAUAAAUGAAAAUGGAAACAUACACAAACUUAAGGGAUGCAGAAAAAGUUCUAUGAUAGCUUUAAGAAAAAAAUCUUCAAAACUUAAUUUUACCCCUUAAGAAAUUAGAAAAAGAAGAGAAAUUAAACCUAGAGUUAUCAGAAGGAAGGAAAUAACAAAGUAGAAAUAUGAAAUAGGCUGGAAAAACAAUAUAAAUGAUUAACAAAACUAAGCAUUCGUUUUUGAAAAGUUCAACAAAAUUGACAAAUCUUUAGCUAGCCUAAGAAAAAAAGAGGAAAGACUUGAAUAAAAGCAGAAAUUAAAGAAAAGACGUUAUGGCUGAUACCACGAAAAUUCCAAAGGGUCAUAAGAAUAGCCACCAACAAACUGGAGAACCCAGAAAAGCGUAUGUUCCUAGAAACAUACAAGAAUGUAUCAUGAAGAAAUAGAAAUCUGAACAGAGAAAUAAUGGGUAAGGAGAUUGAAUCAAUUACUAAAAAUGCCCAGUAAAGAAAAGCCCAGGACCUGAUGACCUUUCUGGAGACUUUUACCAAACAUUUAAAGAAUCAAUACCGGAGUUCCUGUCGUGAAUCUGGUUAACGAAUCUAACUAGGAACCAUGAAGUUGUGGGUUCAAUCCCUGGCCUUGCUUCGUGGGUUAAGGAUCCGGUGUUGCUGUGAGCUGUGGUGUAGGUCGCAGAUGUGGCUUGGAUCCUUUGUUGCUGUGGCUCUGGCGUACUCCAGUGGCUACAGCUCUGGUUAGACCCCUAGCCUGGGAACCUCCAUAUGCCGCGGGAACAGCCUUAGANAAAAAAAAAAAAAAAAAAAAAAAAAA
rnacentral:lncRNA from 1 species